GUUGGAAUCAUGUGUAUGAAAAACUGUAACAACUGGAUAUUAUUUGGAGCUCUGUUUUUUAUAGCAGGAUGUGCUCAUCCCGUUGCAGCUUCCUUCUCUUUGCAAAAGACAGAGUACGCACUGGUCGGUUUUAUCAUAAUUGGUAUUGUUUUGAUGAUCUACGGGUAUAUCCAAAGCAAAAUAUUGAAAAAUCAAUCGCAAGUAGCACCUACUCAGCCUGCACCUACAGUUGAUCCAUCACCUUCCCACCGAAGAAAAAGGUUUUGACUUCAUCAAAUAGUUGCUGAGGUUGAGAAAAAUUGCAUUUUUUCUCGCUCGUGUCUUAUGGCCUCUACCUUAGCAUAAAGGGACGACAAUUUCCAGUGCAGAACGUUUUAUUUUUUGGAAUUUCUGCUUGCAGGAAGAAAACUCAAU